rnacentral:rRNA from 1 species
UACGUAGGGUGCAAGCGUUGUCCGGAAUUAUUGGGCGUAAAGAGCUCGUAGGCGGUCUGUCGCGUCGGAUGUGAAAAUCCAGGGCUCAACCCUGGACCUGCAUUCGAUACGGGCAGACUAGAGUUCGGCAGGGGAGACUGGAAUUCCUGGUGUAGCGGUGAAAUGCGUAGAUAUCAGGAGGAAUACCGAUGGCGAAGGCAGGUCUCUGGGCUGACACUGACGCUCAUGCACGAAAGCGUGGGGAGCAAACAGG